GGAAUAUUGCACAAUGGGCGAAAGCCUGAUGCAGCGACGCCGCGUGAGGGAUGACGGCCUUCGGGUUGUAAACCUCUUUCAGUAGGGAAGAAGCGAAAGUGACGGUACCUGCAGAAGAAGCGCCGGCUAACUACGUGCCAGCAGCCGCGGUAAUACGUAGGGCGCAAGCGUUAUCCGGAAUUAUUGGGCGUAAAGAGCUCGUAGGCGGUUUGUCGCGUCUGCCGUGAAAGUCCGAGGCUCAACUUCGGAUCUGCGGUGGGUACGGGCAGACUAGAGUGAUGUAGGGGAGACUGGAAUUCCUGGUGUAGCGGUGAAAUGCGCAGAUAUCAGGAGGAACACCGAUGGCGAAGGCAGGUCUCUGGGCAUCUACUGACGCUGAGGAGCGAAAGCAUGGGGAGCGAACAGGAUUAGAUACCCUAG
rnacentral:rRNA from 1 species